rnacentral:rRNA from 1 species
GACGAACGCUGGCGGCGUGCUUAACACAUGCAAGUCGAACGGAAAGGCCCUGCUUUUGUGGGGUGCUCGAGUGGCGAACGGGUGAGUAACACGUGAGUAACCUGCCCUUGACUUUGGGAUAACUUCAGGAAACUGGGGCUAAUACCGGAUAGGAGCUCCUGCUGCAUGGUGGGGGUUGGAAAGUUUCGGCGGUUGGGGAUGGACUCGCGGCUUAUCAGCUUGUUGGUGGGGUAGUGGCUUACCAAGGCUUUGACGGGUAGCCGGCCUGAGAGGGUGACCGGCCACAUUGGGACUGAGAUACGGCCCAGACUCCUACGGGAGGCAGCAGUGGGGAAUAUUGCACAAUGGGCGGAAGCCUGAUGCAGCAACGCCGCGUGCGGGAUGCCGGCCUUCGGGUUGUAAACCGCUUUCGCCUGUGACGAAGCGUGAGUGACGGUAAUGGGUAAAGAAGCACCGGCUAACUACGUG